GGCCUAUUAGCUCAGUUGGUUAGAGCGUCGUGCUAAUAACGCGAAGGUCACAGGUUCGAGGCUUGUAUAGGCUA
rnacentral:tRNA from 1 species